rnacentral:rRNA from 1 species
AGAGUUUGAUUAUGGCUCAGAUUGAACGCUGGCGGCAUGCCUUACACAUGCAAGUCGAACGGCAGCGCGGGGGCAACCCUGGCGGCGAGUGGCGAACGGGUGAGUAAUGUAUCGGAACGUAUCCUGUAAUGGGGGAUAACCAGUCGAAAGAUUGGGUAAUACCGCAUACGCACGAGAGUGGAAAGUAGGGGAUCGCAAGACCUUACGUUAUAGGAGCGGCCGAUAUCUGAUUAGCUAGUUGGUGGGGUAAAGGCCUACCAAGGCGACGAUCAGUAGCUGGUCUGAGAGGACGACCAGCCACACUGGGACUGAGACACGGCCCAGACUCCUACGGGAGGCAGCAGUGGGGAAUUUUGGACAAUGGGCGAAAGCCUGAUCCAGCCAUGCCGCGUGCAGGAAGAAGGCCUUCGGGUUGUAAACUGCUUUAGUCUAGGAAAAAGGGGUGCGAGGUUAAUACCCUCGUGCUUUGAUGGUACUGGAAGAAUAAGCACCGGCUAACUACGUGUCAGCCGCCGCGGUAA